CACGCCAUAAACGAUGAGGACUAGACGUUGAGAGGGUUAGCCUCCCAGUGUCGUAGCUAACGCGCUAAGUCCUCCGCCUGGGGAGUACGGCCGCAAGGUUGAAACUCAAAGGAAUUGACG
rnacentral:rRNA from 1 species